rnacentral:lncRNA from 1 species
UUAGAAUUAACGAUAUUAUCAUGCUAUCGUCUAUUUAGCUUUCUUUUGUAUGUCAAUUUUAGUCCCUAAAUUUUAUUUUUCACUUUAGUCUCCAAAAAUAAAAAUUUGAAAAUUUGAAUUUAAAUCCAGAAUUAAUCUUAAAAUUAAUUCGAAAACUUAUGAGUACAAAGAGAUCUAUACUUAUAAGAGUAUAGUAGUUGAAAACAACUUGAUAGCACGGAGGCCUCCAUGCUACUGAUUGUAUACCAGCCUAGCUCUGUGUGUGUGUGUGUGUGUGUGUGUGUGUGUUGAUUUUAAUUAUAAUAAUUUGCUGUAAUAAUACCUUAGCGCCACAUCGUGCGGGACCUUAACUAGUUAUACUAAAUUAUGAUGACAAGAUACAU